UUCUGCCUGUGGAGCUAGGGGUCCC
rnacentral:piRNA from 1 species